UUUAGAACUGUGCACUUUUUAUAUACCCUGUCAUCGAACUGUUUACGAGAAAAUAUUUCGGGGGCACUUCCUUCUCGUGUGUUGCGUAUAUAAUUGUAAAUUGGGUACGUACAAACGUUUACUAAUUUUUGUAUCUGAUUAUAAUAUAUUUUCCUUUUCCCAGCGUUUCAAAUUUAUAAUGCUGAUCACGACAAAUGCAUGGCAGUCAGUAACAUUGACGUCAUAGCGAGGUCAUGUGACACUAAUGACGUAAACCAAUGGUGGACGUGGACGAAUAAAACCAAUUAAAGAACCAGAACCUGAAUAAGUGUCUGGAUGUGAAUGGUAACAUUAAAGAUUGGACAAGACUACAUGUAUCUGUUUGCGACCAUCUUUUCCCUGGCCAGCUCUGGUCAUGUGACCAUGAUUUGGUUCACGUCAUUGGCACGGGCUUGAAUAUGAACUAUGGUAACAAAGCCGAGACUCGUAUUGUUUUGUAUAGUGGUACUGGCCCGUGGAGUCGAUGGAAAAUCUUUG